rnacentral:rRNA from 1 species
UACGGGGGGGGCAAGCGUUGUUCGGAAUUACUGGGCGUAAAGGGCUCGUAGGCGGCCAACUAAGUCAGACGUGAAAUCCCCCGGCUCAACUGGGGAACUGCACAGGAGACUGCUUGGCUUGAGUUCGGGAGAGGGAAGCGGAAUUCCGGGUGUAGCGGUGAAAUGCGUAGAUAUCCGGAGGAACACCGGUGGCGAAGGCGGCUUCCUGGACCGACACUGACGCUGAGGCGCGAAAGCCAGGGGAGCAAACGGG